GAUGAACGCUGACAGAAUGCUUAACACAUGCAAGUCAACUUGAACUUCGGUUUGGGUGGCGGACGGGUGAGUAACGCGUAAAGAACUUGCCUCACAGCUAGGGACAACAUUUGGAAACGAAUGCUAAUACCUGAUAUUAUGAUUAUAUGGCAUCGUAUAAUUAUGAAAGCUAUAUGCGCUGUGAGAGAGCUUUGCGUCCCAUUAGCUAGUUGGAGAGGUAACAGCUCACCAAGGCGAUGAUGGGUAGCCGGCCUGAGAGGGUGAUCGGCCACAAGGGGACUGAGACACGGCCCUUACUCCUACUGGAGGCAGCAGUGGGGAAUAUUGGACAAUGGACCGAGAGUCUGAUCCAGCAAUUCUGUGUGCACGAUGAAGUUUUUCGGAAUGUAAAGUGCCUUCAGUUGGGAAGAAAAAAAUGACGGUACCAACAGAAGAAGUGACGGCUAAAUACGUG
rnacentral:rRNA from 1 species